CAUCCAUUCCAUUCCCAGUGCGGCAUUGACCAGCACAAAAAGGUUAUCGCCAUCCAUGAAACAGUAACAAUAACGAUGGAGCAAGGAGGAUUAGAUAUACGAAGAAGAGGUAGAAAGAGUGGGCGGUGGCGGAGGCGCCGCGGGUGGAGGUGGCGACGCGGGUGGUGCCAGUGAUGAUGACGAUGACGGUGACCGGAGUGAAGUAAUUCAAGCUAGCUCGCCCUCUUACUCCUCCUCCGUUAAUCAGCUGGAGAGAGGUGUAGGUGCACUUUUCGAUGGUUUUGCGAGGUUGAAUUCGCGUAUUUCAAGUGUUGGCCAGAGAGCUGCGAAGAUUGGGGAUCAUCUCCAGGAUUUACUUGCUAUACGAGUUGGAAGUUCUGCCUGUGAUUCACUGCCAUCACUUGAAGCAGAACUGGACUAUUUCUUCUUUUUUGUCUACGUUUUUUGUUCACUUUUUUUUGCUGUUUGUUGCAGUAGUAUGUUCGGAAGAAUGGCCAAUGUUUUUGUUGUUGCUCAAGAGGCUUGCAAAUUUGUUUGAGGGUACACUUAGCAUUCGCAAAGGUGUACAGAGUAAAUCCGACGAUAAUUUUAUGGUAAAUUUGAAAUGCGAGCCCUUUUCCCCUUCCCUUCUGCAAAUCCACUCUCUCCCUCUCCUCCAUUGAAGGUGGCCGCUGCGAACCUCCUCUGUUGCCGCCGCAACUGCUCCACUGUUGCUGCCGCAGUGUAGAACUUGGCCCCGUUGUUGUGGGAGUCUCAGAGCACAGCUCUGCCGCAUCUCCACCGACCGCCUCCGCUGUCCUGUCACCGUUGGAAGUCACCACUGUGCUGCCAUGGUCACCGCCGAGGACCACCACAUCUAGAGAUGAGCAGUUGCUCCAUUUGCUUUACUUUUAUUAAAUGUUUAUCUAAAUUUUUUUAUGAAAUAUGUAAUUAGGGUUAUGUUGUAUUGUUUGUUAGAUUAAUUUAGUGUAAUUAGGAAUUAAAUAAGGUUAGGUAAAUUUGUGAAUUAAGAUAAUUAUUUAGAUAAAUUAGCUUUUUCUAUUUAGGGUUUUAUUAAAAUUUUAUCAAAAUUUUUCAUUAAAUAAGGUUGGUUUAGUUUAAGGUUGAAGUUAGAAUAAUUUUGGGUUGAAUUUAGAUAAAGUAAGUUUUUAGGGUUUUGGGUUAAGGUUAAGCAGUAAAUUAUGUAGAUUUACAGUUUACAAUUUAUGGGAUUAGUUUAAGGUAAUUAUCUUCAUUUGAUUUUUAUUAGUAUUUUUAAAAAUGUUAUUAAUUUUUUAUUAUUAAUUUUUAUCGACUUUUUACUUAUUAGUUAUUACUAACUUCGUUUCUGUUUUAGGAUUUUCUUUGUUUCUGAACGUUAUCUAGCCUUAUUGUGGGUUGUUGGUGCUCCUUAUAUACAUGGGUUGUUCGUGCUCCUUAUAUACGUGGGUUGUUCGUACAGUAUCGAGGGUAUUGUGAGGCUCAAUCCCUGCUUCAAGAUUACGGAUGGAAAUAUUGUGGCCAACUUUAGAGGCAGUAACGUUGGCAUUGGAGGAGACAAAUUCACUGAGACCACCACAUUGCCUUUGACAUGAUCAAUAACUUGAAUUUUGAGAAAGAAACAUAGAGGCUGAAAGUCAGAGUUCUUGGAAUUCAGGGAGUGCCUAAUCCUACCAGCCAAAGCUAUGUGCUCAAUAUCUUGGUUGUUAAAUUCCUUAUUCUCCUUUGUAUUAUAUAAUGUACUUAAUGAUGCUUUCCUCAUGAAAUCUAUUGUUUCUCAGGUUCCAAGAUUCAGGCGGUUACUCUCAGACCUAUGUUAAACAGAUUCAGAGAUCAAUAAGCUAGGGGGGAAGUUUAUAAGAUGAUUUUAUUUUUUAAAGAAAGAUAGGGAUAUCCCAGCUCCCAAAAUGGAGAAGAACAAAAGAAGCGAAAAAUUUUUCACCAAGUUUGACGCAAGAAAAUCUAUCUCAGCUUGCUCGGCAAGGGUUGCAUGUCCAACGACACGCAGGUGGAAGAUAUCUAUGUAUUUCGUGCAAGUGAAAGCUUUGAUCUUUGGAUAUGAAGAGUGUUGGUUCAGAAGAAGAGAAGGCGAAAGAGAAACCAGUAGAGGGUAAGAACAAGAUGAAGCACAAAAUGAAGAGUGUUUCACAGUUGGAGCUUGGAAGUUCUGGACACAACUUAUGCGGGUUCAAGUUGGAGGAUAACCUUUGUACAAUGUUGACAUUAAAUUGGAUGAAGAUAUCCUUCAUUACACGUUGCUUAUAUUGAUGAUGUAGAGGAAACAAGCACAGAUAGAGACAAUAGACAAAAAAAAGGUCAAUAAAGUUUGUUGUCAUGUCUGUGUACUACAAUUUUCUUUAAAAUAGGCAUCUCCUUAAAAUGGGAUUCUGUCCAAAAUAAUUGUAUAUUAAAAAAUAUUA